rnacentral:lncRNA from 1 species
CAAAGAUUCAAUUUAUGUUACUGCUCUUUGUUGCUGAAGGAGCAUAGUCUAUUUAAUUAAGGAGAGAUUUUUGUUAAAUGAGUUUCUCGAUUCAGUUAAGGUGGUUAAAGUAAUUACAUUUUAUGUUAAUUAACUGCUUUAGUUUCGCGGGGGAACUUUAUUUUCUCAGUUCUCAAAGCAUUACUUUCAUACAACAGAGUCCUCGAAUUUAUGCGAAAUAACGGGUCAAUUUUUUUUUUAUUUUUUAUUCUUCUUGGAGAGCGGAUCAUUUUUAUUUUCUAUAUUUUUCAAAUUAUUUUUCACGCUCUUUAGGUAGGCAGUUUAAUUUUAUUAACAGGUAAGGGAAGUGAUUAAUGGGUAAACACAUAGUGACAACUUUUCUCGUUUCGUAUAUAAAAUAUUCAUUAAUCCAUUGAGAUUAAACUUAAAAUUUAACCGAAUAAAUAUUUUUCGAAUUAGAUUCAACUUAGAUUUUUAACUUAACAGUCGAUGCGUUUAGAAAUAAAUUAACAUCACAAAGCGACUUACAAAGAAGAGAGAAAAAAAAAAAAAAGGUUUCUAUUCCACUUUUAGAUGGAGAAUCACUUCGAAGGUAUUGACCGAUUUAGUUGAAAAUAUCUACACAUUUUCCCACUGGCGGAGGAAUUUUUUCACUUCGAUACUAGCCAAAAAUAACAAAAAGAGCGCAAACUAAUUUUGGGCGGAGAAGUAGCCUCCUCCACCACAUAGCUACUACAACUCUGCCCGGUCGAAAGGAGAACAAUCAGCGAAGGGAAAAAAGAAAAGCAGAAAAAUUUUGGGCAGCAAGAGAGCCAACUACUUUUCAUCGCAUUCAAACUACCCGAGAGUUACUUAAUUUACUACUGGUGGAAUGAAAAUCCCAGCGAUGCUAUCUUUAGACAUUUGAGUGCAUUCCUAGUUAUUUCCGUACAGAUUUAUACUCGGGAGAGUGGAAGCUGUGUAAAUAAAUAUAUCACCAUCAGACGUCACUGGUUACGUGACUAGUGUUGACAUUAAUAGGUUCGAACUAUCGCUGAAUUGUUUUUUUUUUUUUUCUGCUGGUGGAGAAUGGGAAUAGUUAGUGAGUCAUUCUCAUUAGCAAUUUCUACUUCCAUAUGUCUAUUCUUUAUUUCUCACCGGCAGAUAAGAAAUGAUGAUGUCAAGUCUGGCUAACGUCGCUUUUAUUACAAUUGUGUGGUGGCAGUUACGCGGAACGAGUAAGAUUACGUUGGCAUGUAACUGUUUCGCAUUCUCCGAGUGUUCUGGCCUCACCUAGAAGAAGACUGAAGUUGUCAGACGCUGUCGGGUCAGCGAACCUGACAUUGCAACUGAGUAAAUCCUCCUCCGUCGUGUUUAUGUAAGGGGAGAGUACCAGAAUAGCACGCAUUUUUUUUUUUCUUUUUGGUUCCUUUCCUCCUCCUCUUUAGUUUCGGUUUUUCAUCUUUCCGAUGUAGAUGAGUGUUUUUGUUAUCGACGAAUAUAAGUGCGUAUCAAAACGAGUUAAUAAUUCAAUAAGGGUGUGGCUUUUAGCGCUUCGGUUAUUUUAUUUUUUUGCAACUUUAGUUUUACGGCUCCACUAUCAUAUAGUGUAUGUAUAUAAAUUGCAGUUUAAUCCUAUAUAUUUUAAAUUUUUCGACCUAGAAAGACUUCUGAAUAUCGUUAAAUUCUAUCAAACUAGUUCCACAUUUGACAUUAUCCAGUAAGUUAGAGCAUUGAUAAGAUUGGCUUGAUCAUUUUUUUUAAUUUUUAAUGAUAUCUAUGAUUUUUUUUUUUUCAAUUGUCAAACUUAUGAAAGAUUUUGUAAUUCUCUUUUCGCUGGGAAUCAACAUGGCCAUUUUCUACAGCAAGGUUUCUCAAUCAGCCAGACUGGAUACCAGAAUCGAUCCGUGGAUCACAAUAUAAGUUUACUUGGUCACUUGAGGAAUAGAUAAAAAUCUAUUACAGCUUUAUUUCUUAGAAAUAAUAAUAAUUUUGUUUUCGUGACGUCGUAUAAAAGAGAACUUACCGUGAUAGUUGCGAAUCAACAAUUUUAUUAGGCAUAAUCCGGGAACCUUUUUUAUUUUUUCUCGAUUUUCUAUAUUGAAAUUAUCGGCUCUCGUUACAAAAUUAUUGAUGGCAUACUGUAGAGAAUCAUGUUUCGACCGAUAGUAGCAGUAAAAUAGAUGUUAUCUGUUUUAGUAAGGACAACUGUUGCAGAACCCAGGCGGUGUCCGUGGCAUCAUUUAGAAGGAAGGGGCCGCUUUUAUUGAUGUAUGUCUCCCACCAUCCAUCUUCGUGGCAGGCAUAGAAGUCAAUGGCUGCAGUCCACCCUUCACCACUACCUCAUCUAACAAGGGAAAUAAUCAGCACCUAAAAUCGAUCGAGUCAUAACAUCUGACUCCACUGCAAACAAAAUGUUAUCUCCGCCUCUACUCGAUUGGGGGUCUGCUCUCUUUUAUCCUCCAUCUUGCGUCUUUCUCUUUAAUCCUAAUCUUUUUAGCAGCUACGAAAUAGUUUUGCUUGGAUGAUUACGUCCCGAACUUGUUUUUUUUUCCCUCUUUCUCCCUUUCUCUCAACAGGCGAUCUGUUUAGAUCUAACUUAGUCGUGAAAUUUCUCCCGAUUUUUAUUCCGUUUACAUCUCUUUUUCUCUCUUUAUACGUACGCUAAUUGCUUUCUACGGUGUAUUUCUCUCCUAUCAACUACUUUCUUUCUUUCUUUCGGCAAUAAUAUAUAGAAAUGGCAAAACAGUGAUGAUAAGAAAAAAGUUGAGUCAAAAGAAGAUAGAAUAAUAGAAAAAAAUGACAGUAAGGGGAAUACGAGAAAAGCAGAAUAAUAAUAAAAAAGAUAAAAAAGAGAGUAAAGGGAAUAGUGUAUCCUCCACCAUUCUUCAUCUUUCCAAUCGGGCGCGAAUGAAUCUUCAAGUUUUGCUCUUCCAAAGCAGUGCUCCAAACGAGUACAACGUCGUUUAUCUUUCAUAGAAUCGGCAUAGAGUAACACAGAUCCUCGUAAAUCACCGGUUGUAGUUGCAAUCACAUUAAGAUAGCAAUUGAAUAGCAUAAUUCCAAUAUUAAUUGUACUGUAUUCCCGUUCGUCACUCAGUUUUGCAUAUUCGCCAAUGGUUGUUGUAAAGCAAUUAAAUUCCAUAUCCAAUGCGACUAUGGAUACAACAUACUGUUCACUAUCAAGACCAUCAUUCCCUUAAUAGGUUUCGCUUUCUCUUGGCUAGACCAGCGGGCGGCACAGUUAAGUGGCACCUAAUGGACUCUGGUCACUCGUAAUGAAAGAAGGGAAGCUUGGCAAACAUCUCUUCCUACUAGGACACUUCUUUGUCGUUUGCGGAGGACUGGCCUAAGCAUACAGGAUUAAUGUUUCAGAAAUGAGAUUCUCCUGUAACAAUACUACAUUCCUUAUCAAUUUUUACCAAAAUUUUCCAAUUUCGAAAACGGUUAAAAUAAAAAUUUAAUUGCUUGCAUUUCACGGACGAAAGAACUGCUCCACUGCUACAGUAAUAAUGGUUACUAGAAUUUUAACAAUUAAUGUAGUCUGACUGUUAGAGGUUUUGACUUGUAAAUAACUUUUUCUUUCUUUUUUUUUAUUAGACAAUUGCAAUGUAAAGCUGAUUUCCUUUCCUCUAGAUGAUAUCUUUCUAUCGUGUCCAAAAUGACAGAUUUGAGGACAAUGAGACGGAAGAUGGUACAAUUGACUUUUAUCUGAUAGAAGGGUCGGAUGGAGGAUAAGAACCAAUUGUGCUGCACAGAAAAGCUCCAAUGACGAUAAGAUGGCGGCGGUAAUGUCACGUACACAGUCCCUCUCGCGAAUUAAUCAGACAUUAUCUUGUCUGAUUUGUGUCUUGCUGACUCUUUAGUGGAAGGAAGAAGGAGAGAUACCAUUCUAGUGGGGAUACGGAAGAGGAAAUUAUACAGGGUGCAAUAGGGAAUUUCUCUUACAUAAAAAUGCAAACUGAUCUAGCUAUAUAUAUAUAUAAAGAAGAAUAAUUUGACAGACUAUCGAAUAAUUUAUUGUCAAGAUUGUAGUUGCCAUAUUGUUCGCGUGUCAGGGACAGUCCGCUUCUGGUUCAUCCUCAGGCGAUGCGAUGUCUCUAUCAUGUCUCAAUCUGCUGCUGCUGGUUUUUAGAUCUGAUGCUGUGCAUUUACAUUCCUCGCAUGGGCAUACAUACAUAUAAUGGAUUUCUCCUCGCAGCAUUUUUCACCUCUCGCACUUUUGUUUUUCUCUUUUCUUUUCGCCUUUUCGUUUCACAUUUCUCGUUCUCAUUUUUACUAUCCCGAUUUCUUUCUUUCGAUUUCUGCUUCUUUCAGUGUUUAAGUUUAAUUUAAACUGGUGAAAUCAUCAAACAAGCUAUCAAAAUUCUCCUUACGACCGAAAAUAAAGUAGUCGUUUUUUUUUCACUGACACGUCAAACGAAAUGCAUGUAGAGGAGACAUCAUCAAUUUUCGCUUAACGGUGCGGUUAUAUAAACGCUUUUAUUAGACGAAAAUUCGAACUCGAGUCAAAUUACAAGAUCAUCUCCAUGGAAAAGGUUGAAGUGCGGCAAAGACAGACAAGUCCAACCGCAGCCAAGCGAGACCCAGUUUCCAACAAUCAAUUAUUCGCUCUAACGCUCCUGGUUUACUCCGAUGUGUUGGCCGUGAAGUGAAAAUUAAUGGUGGAGUGCUGAAGGCCCCGAUCUGAGAAUUUUUCCCGAGUUUCUGCCGUCUUGGUUGCUCUUCUCCAUCUUUCUUCUAACAGUUGUCAACUGUCGAAAAUCUGUGUGCUUUUUGCCUUUUUACAGCAUCUUUCUCGAUUUAUAACUUGCCAUUUUAGUCUCCGAGAGGGGAGAACAGGUUCCAUUUUUAGACUGGAUUCGUUUAGCGACUAUUCUCCAAAGUUCCUAUUCGGAUUACGAAACAAAAAAAAAAAAAAAGAAUUUUUCGUCAGCCAAAAACUAUGCAUUACAAAUUUUCUUUAUUUUCUGUUGAUUAACGAUAAAAUCCUUUGUAAUAUUCAUCAUAUUCUAUUUCUAGCUGUAUAAUUUAAUAGUCUCGCUUGAUGAUAAUCUCUUUUCUUACGUGGCUGAUCUCAGAACCUCCGCCUUUAAUAAGAUUCCCAAGAGGUUGCAUCACUUCCUAGAAUCUUUACAAAAACAAACGUAUCUUCCUUUCUAACAGCAUCUAAGUUUUAAAGCAUAAAAACAAAAAAAAAAAAAAAAAAAAAAAAAAAAAGAAG